rnacentral:rRNA from 1 species
AGCGAAUAGAUACCCGGGUAGUCCACGCCGUAAACGAUGGAUACUAGCUGUUCGGAGCAAUCUGAGUGGCUAAAGCGAAAAAAGUGAUAAGUAUCCCACCUGGGGAGUACGCACGCAAGUGUGAAACUCAAGGGAAUUGACGGGGGCCCGCACAAGCGGUGGAGCAUGUGGUUUAAUUCGAUGAUACGCGAGGAACCUUACCAGGGCUUAAAUGUAGAUUGACAGGACUGGAAACAGUUUUUCUUCGGACAAUUUACAAGGUGCUGCAUGGUUGUCGUCAGCUCGUGCCGUGAGGUGUCAGGUUAAGUCCUAUAACGAGCGCAACCCCUGUCGUUAGUUGCCAGCGAGUCAUGUCGGGAACUCUAACGAGACUGCCAGUGUAAACUGUGAGGAAGGUGGGGAUGACGUCAAAUCAUCACGGCCCUUACGUCCUGGGCCACACACGUGCUACAAUGGUAGGUACAGAGAGCAGCCACUGCGCGAGCA